UAAGCAUAUCAAUAAGCGGAGGAAAAGAAACCAACAGGGAUUGCCUUAGUAGCGGCGAGUGAAGCGGCAAGAGCUCAAAUUUGAAAUCUGGUACCUUCGGUGCCCGAGUUGUAAUUUGAAGAAAGCUAUCUUGGAUUUGGCCUUUGUCUAUGUUCCUUGGAACGGGACGUCAUAGAGGGUGAGAAUCCCGUCUGAUGGGGUGUCCAUUUCUAUGUAAGAUGCUUUCGAAGAGUCGAGUUGUUUGGGAAUGCAGCUCAAAGUGGGUGGUAAAUUCCAUCUAAAGCUAAAUAUUGGCGAGAGACCGAUAGCGAACAAGUACUGUGAAGGAAAGAUGAAAAGAACUUUGAAAAGAGAGUGAAAAAGUACGUGAAAUUGUUGAAAGGGAAGGGUAUUUGAUCAGACUUGGUAUUUAGUUAUCGUUCGCACUUGUGUGGGCGCUCUAGCUUUUUACUGGGCCAGCAUCAGUUUUGGUGGCAAGAUAAUGACAGUUGAAUGUGGCUCCUCGGAGUGUUAUAGCCUCUGUUGAUAUUGCCUAUCGGGACUGAGGUCUGCGGCUUGCCU
rnacentral:rRNA from 1 species